rnacentral:rRNA from 1 species
UACGGAGGGUGCAAGCGUUAUCCGGAUUCACUGGGUUUAAAGGGUGCGUAGGUGGGCAAGUAAGUCAGUGGUGAAAUCUCCGGGCUUAACCCGGAAACUGCCAUUGAUACUAUUUGUCUUGAAUACUGUGGAGGUCAGCGGAAUAUGUCAUGUAGCGGUGAAAUGCUUAGAUAUGACAUAGAACACCAAUUGCGAAGGCAGCUGGCUACACAAAUAUUGGCACUGAGGCACGAAAGCGUGGGGAUCAAACAGG